UAGCUCAGUCGGUAGAGCAUGAGACUCU
rnacentral:piRNA from 10 species